rnacentral:rRNA from 1 species
UAUGAACGCUGGCGGCUGGCCUAACACAUGCAAGUCGAGCGAAGCCUACGGGCUUAGCGGCCGCAGGGUGAGUAAUGGGUCCGGACGUCCCUUUUGGUACGGAAUAGCCGCGGGAAACUGGGCGUAAUGUCGUCUAGCGUCGAGCGACGUGAGACUUAUCGCCAAAGGAUCUGCCCGCGUGUGAUUAGGUAGUUGGUGGGCGAAUGGCCGACCAAGCCGACGAUCCACAGCUGGUUUGAGAGGAGGAUCAGCCACACUAGGACUGGGACACGGCCCAGACUCCUACGGGAGGCAGCAGUGGGGAAUCUUAGACAAUGGGGGAAACCCUGAUCUAGCCAUGCCGCGUGAUCGAUGAAGGCCUUAGGGUUGUAAAGAUCUUUCAGUGGGGAAGAUAAUGACGGUACCCACAGAAGAAGCCCCGGCUAACUCCGUGCCAGCAGCCGCCGUAAUAC